GGGAGGGUGGACAGAACGAUGCGUGUGCUUGCGUCUUAGCUGGGCUCCGUGCGGGAGAGACGGUGAGUCACCUUCAGGUCUGGGCGGAAGGAGGCGGGGCUUGGAGCAAGUUCCGCCUCUGCGGCCCCUCCAUUUCCCGCCUGAAGAUUUGAGUGCGUGGUUCCGGCCCUUCUGCCUGGAGUGUCCUUGGAUUCUGGGAAAUACACCUGACUAGUGACCACAUUUUCUGUGCCUGUCAUUUGAAUGCUUUGAACAUGGAACAGAGCUUUUGGAAUUUGAAGUUGUGGCUGAAGCUGGAGGUCAGUCCACCUACACACGGCUUCCUGGCGCUGGAGUAAUUUUAACUUGAUUGAAGACUUGCUGGUGGGUCCUGGCGGGGUGUACAGAGGGAGAGUUCUGUCAGAAGCAAAGAUCCACAAGGACAGGCUGUACAGUGAGGACUCCAGGGGUAUGAAGAGACCAGUGAGUUGGCAAAAGGGAAAUGGCGGCGGAUGGACGCCAGGGCAGAACAGGUCAGCUCUCCUCUCUGCUCUGAAUGUCAAUUCCACCCUCCUCUGAAAGGUACAAUCGACCCUUUCUGUCAUCACUCAUUGAUCGUCUUUUGCAAAGGCCCCAGGGUCACGAUAGAUAUGGGAGUGAAGGUUCUGGACCACAGAGGAGAAGUUAACUGUGACUGGAGAGCCAAGGAGGGCUUGAUGGACAAGGAACCAUCUGGAUUGGGUCUUGAAGGCAAUAAACAAAAAAUCCUCAUCAACACUGUGCUCCAAUGGGCACUGCCUAUCGACUGGAGAAGGGAGCAGCGUGGCCAACAGCCUCCGGACUGGCAGCGUGUGUUCAGGCUUCCCUGGGAGGCCCAGGCCCCAUUCUUGCCACAGAGACCACCCCAGAGGCCUCGGGGAGGACAGGCUUCUUUACCAUGUCAAGUGGUUAUUUCCACAUUGACCCAUUUGACUCUGUAAAUCACUUUCUUGAAUGCGAGAUAGUAAAGGGCAAAAGUUAUUUCUUUCCUAUUCUUUUAAUUGCCAGGAUCAAUAGGGCACAAUUGAUUUGAAUU
rnacentral:lncRNA from 1 species